rnacentral:tRNA from 1 species
UGAGGCUGUAGCUCAGCCUGGUUAGAGCACCGCUCUGAUAAGGCGGGGGUCCACGGUUCAAAUCCGUGCAGUCUCAU